AUUGACUGGUGCUUAAGAUUUGCCACAAAUAUAAUAAGUUUUAAACUUUUUGUCAUUUUUAUUCAAUUUCUCAUGACACUAAUAUUUAUUCCUAAGGAUUUUCUAUGUCAGUAUGUAAUAAAUGUAAUAAUGACACUUUCUAGGAUUAAAGAAAUUUAUGAUGCUCCUUACUGUGACAAGUGGCAAGUUAAUACUAUGGAUACAGUUAUUGCCGGGCAUAGUCAUGCAAAGCUCCAGACUGAUUGGCACUACCAGGGUAUGAAAAAAGAGGUCCUCAACUUCUUUAAUGCCAAAACACUAACACAGGUGGUUGUAACCAGCUGUGCCAAACCUGUCUCCUUGGCCAAAAUGAUCCCGAGCUGAUUUGGUUGUUGGCUCCUUGUAACCGAGGAAAAAAAACAGUUUGAAAAUCUAAAUGUUCAGGACAAAGGAUGUGAGCCAGUUACCCAGGAGCAGUUUACAAAGUCACAAAUGCAGAAAGUGCUGUGUUCUUUGAGAAAUAAAAGCUUUCAUACAGACAAUAACAGGCCUACAAGACUAUCGGUGGAGGCAACACUACCUCAUCAAAUGUUCUUUUUAAAAAAACAAGAUACCUCAUAGACAUAAAAAUGCAGUUGAAGGGAUUGUACACCAGAUUGGCAUCAAAAAAAGUUUUUUCUGUAACAAAUCUGAGGAUUGUCUGUAUAAUGGAAUGUGUUAAGCUGUGAUAUCAUAAUUGUAAAAAAAGGUACAAAAAUGUAAAAAAAAAAAAUUGUGUCGAAGACCGGAUUCAAUCCUGUGUCGCCUAAAUUGCAGUCCACUGUGCUACGAAUGCUUACUCCAAACGAGUAGUAUAUUUAAACUAUAUACCUGAUAUCACGUGAUAGCAUUGAAUAGCCAAUCACGCUUUAGGAAUGAAUUCUACUAGGUAGACAUACCCAGUAAUCUUUUUUAAUGGAAAUAUAUGAAACAACUGCUAAACUUAAAUAAAAUUGUAAACUAUGUGGUACUUCAGUUGAUAAGUUUCAAUGCAUUGUACACAUAAAUACCAAGUAUAUGUCAGUUUUCGACAAUUUUCUUUUUUUCUUGCAAAUUAAUCAUCUGGUGCACAGUUGCUUUAAAGAUGUUACUUGUCCUUUGAAAUGAAGAAAUGUUAAUUUCCAUAAUUAUUAAAAUAGUUCCUCAUUUGAUAAUUUGUUUUAAAUCAAUGGUGAAUGAGAUCAUUGGUAAUUUAUUAAAUCCAAAGUAUACAUUUUUUUCUGGAACGAUUUCAUUGAAUGAAAAUUAAGCAUUACAUUCAUUAUAAACUUAUUAACUUUUUUUGAGUUUAGGCCUUUCUUUUUUAAUGAAUUGGUUAACGGAUCUACCGCCCAAUUAUUUCGAAAAGUCCCCCCUCCUCCAAUUUUUUUUUGGUUAUUUGUUUUUUAAAAAAAUAUUGAAAAAGUGACACUAUAACUAAAGGUUGUAAUAAUAUUGACUUUUAAUGUGACAUUAUUUGAAAUUGGAAGUGUAUAAUAUGCUUAUAUAAUGAUUACAAUAACUUAGAUUUGAAAUUGGUAGGUCAGAGAACAUUGGACUGUAAAGCCAAAAAUAUGUGUAUGACAAAGUGAGCAUUUGAACAUAUCAAUAUUCAUUAUAAUAUUGAGGCAUUGCAGACAUUUUGUUGCAUAGAAAUCAAAGCAUUUCAAAUGUCAUUCAUAUGUUUCUAUGAACAUGUCUUUCCUUUUUGUUGUUAAUUUUUAUCUUUUGGUUUUGG